UACGGAGGGGGCUAGCGUUGUUCGGAAUUACUGGGCGUAAAGCGCAUGUAGGCGGCUUUGCAAGUUAGAGGUGAAAGCCCGGGGCUCAACUCCGGAAUUGCCUUUAAGACUGCAUCGCUAGAAUUGUGGAGAGGUAAGUGGAAUUCCGAGUGUAGAGGUGAAAUUCGUAGAUAUUCGGAAGAACACCAGUGGCGAAGGCGACUUACUGGACACAUAUUGACGCUGAGGUGCGAAAGCGUGGGGAGCAAACAGG
rnacentral:rRNA from 1 species